UUCAGUACUGAUUAAUAUCUGCAGCCCAAGAUCAGUUACUCACUUAAGCUAAGCAGGCCUAAGCCUGGUCAGUACUUGGAUGGGAGACCACUAGGGAACACUAGGUUGCUGUUGGAA
ensembl:rRNA 5S_rRNA 5S ribosomal RNA